GUAAAUUUAACGGGAAACAAAACCUCUCACCCUCUUUUUCUAGCCUUCGAGAAGAAACUCGAAGCUGUACAGAAACAUUCUUUCAGGAGCUCUAGAGGCAAAGAAAUAAAGCAGGAAGUAAACAAAGAGAAACAUUCCGAGUGUGAUUUAUUGUUUCUCCGAGUGUGAUUUAUCCCGCUCCAGAAUCCAGUAUUUACCCCAAAAAAUUAGAAAAAGAAAUGAGCCGAGCAAGUCGAACACUUUACGUUGGCAAUCUCCCCGGCGAUAUUCGUGGGAGGGAAGUUGAAGAUUUGUUUUAUAAGUAUGGGCCCAUUGUUGACAUUGACUUGAAAAUCCCACCGAGACCUCCAGUCUAUGCAUUUGUUGAGUUUGAAGAUGCUCAUGAUGCUAAGUAUGCAAUUUGUGGUCUGGACGGAUAUAAUUUUGAUGGUUGUCGGUUACGAGUUGAGCUUGCUCAUGGUGGGCGAAGAAAUUCAUCACCAGUGGAUCGUUAUAGCAGUUACAGUGGUAGCAGGGGUAGCCGUGGGCCUCCCAAGUACUCUGACUAUCGUGUUUUAGUCACUGGAUUGCCUUCUUCUGCUUCGUGGCAAGACUUAAAGGAUCAUAUGCGUCGAGCUGGGGAUGUCUGCUUUUCUCAAGUCUUUCAAGACCGUGGUGGCAUGACAGGAAUUGUAGGCUACACGAACUAUGAUGACAUGAAAUAUGCUAUCAAGAAGCUUGAUGACUCUGAGUUCCAGAAUGCAUUUUCUCGGGCAUAUAUUCGGGUGCGGGAGUAUGAUUCUAGGAGGAGUUACUCUAGGAGCCCCAGAUACAGUUCACAUGUGUCAAGAAGCCGGAGUCGCAGUCGCAGUCACGAUCGAAGCUAUAGUGACAGGAGCUGGAGCAAGUCUUCAAGGGCAAAAUAUUCAUGGCAUUCUCGAUCUGUAUCUGUUUCCUCUCGUUCUUGUGCAGGAUCAUCUCCAUGAUCUUUGUCGAGUGAUCUGGCCACCUGGGGAUUGGAUGUUAAGGACUUGAUGGGAUGUGUUGGGUCGUAUGCGUGCACCUCUUUGCUUGUUUUGAGGUAAUGAUGUUUUUGUUGAUGGGCACCUCUGGAAAAUCCUAAUAAUCUCAUAAUGCUUUUAAGUUGAUUCCUAAUAAUCUUACAAUGCUAUUAAGUUGGCUUGCCAAUUAACAUUAGACUUUAUCAAGCGUGGAUGGGAUUGUGAUUCUAAAGCUGGAUUAAGUGGAGUAAGUGCUAUUGGUGCUGCCUGCUCACAAGCGGUACAAAGAAACUUGAAACUACUUCAACUUUAACCUUAACUCGUGUUUGGUAUUAUCGCUCCUUGAUUUGGCUAUACAGACAGGGAGGAUGUAGUUAUCCUUUCUUCUAGUAUGGAUGGGGACAAUGUCGUUUCAUUAGGAAUCUUGUAAUGUGGUUCUGUACUGGUUUUUCAUAUCUCUACGCAUUGUUUUAAGUUCCAUUACCUGCUGCAAAAGGAAUUAACAAAUGGUAAGGUAGCAUCUAUCAGAUAGUGGAUUUGGUUCUGGUCUUUUUUUAGUUGCCUCUGAAGAUUGGUGGUAAGUUUCUGUUUCUUUUGGUUGCUGCUCACUCCGAGGUGGAAGUGGCACUGAAGCUUUUGGAUCAAGGGUUAUAAUGGAUUGUUCUGGAAAUUGAAUUUGGUUGUUUAUGGAAAUUCUUGCAGAUCCCGUUCAAGAUCAAGAUCUCCAGUUGAUUCUCAGCCUCGCAGCAAACAAGACUAUAGAACCCCAAGCAAAAGCCCCACUCAUUUAUCUCGGCCC